UGAAGCUCUCUUUUUUUCCCUUGAUGAUUUUUUGUUCCCUCUUUGUAGCUCCUCUUCUCUUUUCUCGUUCGCUCUCUUCCGGGAUUUGAUCGCCGGAGAAGCAUCACCGUCCGACCUGCCGGAAAUUUUAUCCGGCAUUCUUUACGAUUGUUUGAUUCCCGCCGGCUCAGAUCUUCGACAACAUAUCGGUACAUUUCUCGCCUUUUCAUCUUAUUCACGCCUUAUAUAUGAGGAACUUGAUCCACGAGAAGCCCAUUGGGAGAUAUCUGUUCGCGAGUAUUUGAAUCUGAAUAGUUAGGGUUUCGAUUCGUCACGUUGCAUGCUGAUCCAUUGAGUUCUCUGUCAGUGAUCUUCUCCGUGAUAAUCCAGCUCGGGAAAACCUAGGGUUUCUAUUUAGGGGAAGAGGAAAGCCAGGGUCUUGCCUCGCUGCGUCGCCAUGUUUAAGAAAAUCAUGAAGGGAGGGCACCGGAAGCCCUCUAAAUCCGAGCCUAGUGACCAGUCCAUGUACGGGUUUUGUCCUCCGGGUAGGUCAGGUCCAGGGUCCGAUGUGGUUGUUAGCCACGCGUCUCGCGGUGGCCCGGUUCCUUCCUCACCGGGGCCUGUGGCCACCCCACCGCUGUUACCGAUGGGUUCCGUUGAGCCCCUCCCGUUGUUCAGGGAUGUUCCUGUUUCGGAGCGGCAACACCUGUUCUUGAGAAAGCUGCAGAUUUGUUCUUUCCAAUUCGAUUUCACUGACACGAUGAAAAAUGCGAGAGAGAAAGAGAUUAAAAGGCAGACUUUACUGGAGCUCGUGGAUUUUAUACAGUCUGGAUCGGGUAAGAUCACGGAAGCAUGUCAGGAAGAAAUGAUAAAGAUGAUUUCUCUCAAUGUAUUCCGGUGUCUGCCUCCAGCUUCGCACGAGAAUACGGGUCAAGAGCCUGCAGAUCCAGAGGAAGAGGAGCCCUAUCUGGAACCCUCUUGGCCUCAUUUGCAGCUAGUGUAUGAGUUAUUACUGAGAUAUGUUGUUUCUUCUGACACGGAUACGAAGGUGGCCAAACGGUAUAUUGACCACUCUUUUGUGUUGAAGUUGCUUGACUUGUUUGAUUCUGAAGACCCGAGAGAGAGGGAGUACUUGAAAACGAUUCUUCAUAGGAUCUACGGGAAGUUUAUGGUCCACAGGCCCUUUAUUAGGAAAGCAAUUAACAACAUAUUCUAUAGGUUUAUUUACGAGACAGAGAGACACAGCGGGGUCGGGGAGCUGCUGGAGAUUCUGGGCAGUAUCAUAAAUGGGUUUGCCUUGCCAAUGAAGGAGGAGCACAAGCUGUUUCUGGUCAGGGCGUUGAUACCGCUGCAUAAGCCAAAACCGAUCUCUCUAUACCAUCAGCAACUGUCUUACUGUAUCGUGCAGUUUGUCGAAAAAGAUUACAAGCUCUCGGAUACAGUGAUCAGGGGAUUGUUAAAGUAUUGGCCCGUGACUAACUGCCAGAAGGAGGUCCUCUUCCUCGGAGAACUCGAAGAGGUUCUCGAGGCUACACAACCUGUCGAGUUCCAGCGUUGCAUGGUUCCUUUAUUCCAACAAAUUGCUCGCUGUCUCAAUAGCUUCCAUUUCCAGGUAGCGGAAAGAGCGCUGUUCCUGUGGAACAACGAGCACGUGGUGAACCUGAUCGAUCAGAACAGGAGGGUGAUCCUUCCGAUAAUAUUCGAGGCGAUGGAGAAGAACGUCGGAUCGCACUGGAACCAGGCGGUGCAUGGGUUGACGGUGAACGUGAGGAAGAUGUUCAUGGAAAUGGACGCCGAGCUGUUCGAGCAAUGUCAGGUCGAGUACGAAGAGAAGAAAGCUAGGUCCAAAGAAGUGGAAGAACGACGACAACUCGCCUGGAAGAGAUUAGCCGAAGCAGCUGCCCAGAGAGAAGAAGACACUAAUAUUGAUAUGGUCACUUCCUAAAUAAAACGGUUGUGUUGGACACGUCACCAGACAGAGAAUCUUAAAACUUCCGAACUCUACUUUCCGUUCUUUAUGUGGUAGGGAAUCAACAAACAUAUGUAUAGGUUUCGGUUCAUGUUAAACCGGUUCGGUUAUAUGUUUGAAUGUUUUCCACAAUAAAAGUUAAAAUUAAAUCAUCGUUAAAGUUUUGUUAUUCUCUCUGGGGCUAAUGGGCUAAUAAUGAAGUGAGGCCUUUUGGAUAAUACUCUUUCGUAAUGGGCCUGCCCUAUAAACACUUCCACCGAGAAUCUCUGCUCUGAGCGGAAAGAGGCCGAGAAUUUGUUAGCGGCGGAAAUGGCGGUUCCGAGGGGGGUGGCAAGAGGACAUCGAGUAUGGAGAGAGGAAGAUGGUGACGACUCCGACGACGAUCUCGACGUUCCGCCGCACCUCCACAACUUGGUCGCCGCCGUUCAGACACGCUCCGCCCUUGAUAAUUUGGACGGGGGUGUUGACGAACCACUUGAAGAUGGAGACACAGCUCUUCAUCUGGCUUGUCUCUAUGAUCACCUGCCUUGUGUUCAGGAACGAGGGGAUAAUGUGGAGGUCAAGGAUGAAGAUGGAGCUAUACCUUUACAUGAUGCUGAUGGAAACUUAGAAUUUCCACCAAAUAAAGAACAGAAAUAGAAAGAUUAAUGCUGCUUAAGGGAGACCAUAAAUCCCAAGGGCUUCAAGAUUGCCCUCUUCUCCAAAUCUUUGAUCAAAAUGUUGAUGUCCAUUCAUAACUUAGAGUUUACCUUAUAUACAUAUGUCAAGGAAGCUAAUGACAAAGUAGGGUUUCCCUACUUGUAAAUUGCCCAAAAUACACUUCUCUACUACAAACUACUAUAUUUAACUAGGUGUGUUCACUUGCCGAUCUCUAUCAGAUCGAGUUAUUAGUCUAUAUGCUUUAGUUUCUCACAUUUUGGUUUAAUUUGUGCAGGAUUUAUAGAGAUAGUGCAGCCUUAUUAUUAGCAGAGCCGGUGGUCCUGAAUGUGUGAAGAGGAUGUUACAUAUAGUCGAUGCAGGAGACACUGUACGUAUGUCAUUGUUAGAUGGGCCACGGCAAUGAUAAAUCUCUCUCUCUCUCUCUCUCUCCAAUCAGAGCUUUUUUACUGUGGUAGCCUCUUCAUCAUGCAGCGAGAGGUGAGCACGGGGACGUGCUAAGGUUUCUGCUGGCUUCUGGGGCCUCACCAAGAACGGCAAACUCCUUUGGCAAGGGUAAUCUGGAACCAUGAAGCAGGCUAAACUGGCUCCGAUCGAGGGUUAGGCUUAAAAUGGUUUGUUUCUCCAUCAUAGAAAUACCGUUUUGUGUUCAUAACGAUGGUUUUUCAAAUGGGCAGACACCUGGUGAAUUAGCUGAUCCAGACACCGAAGCCAAGAGAGAUUUAGACUUAGCCGAUAGCACCAUAUCUAGCUUUAGUUAAAAUCUCCACAAAAUGGAACUUUUGAUCUGGGUUUUUUUUUCCUCCAAAAUUAGGAAGUAGGAAAUGAUUUCAUUGUGAUCUUCGCCUCUUUGUUGAUCCUAUAUUUUGUUACUUGUGAAAUGUGGAUGAAUCAACCCAAAAAACAAAAAGGACAGCACAGAUUGUAGGCAAAUGUGAUAUCCAGAAUCUGCGUG